UAGGGAAUCUUCGGCAAUGGGGGCAACCCAGACCGAGCAACGCCGCGUGAGUGAAGAAGGUUUUCGGAUCGUAAAGCUCUGUUGUAGGAGAAGAACGUGUGUGAGAGUGGAAAGUUCACACAGUGACGGUAACUUACCAGAAAGGGACGGCUAACUACGUGCCAG
rnacentral:rRNA from 1 species